rnacentral:lncRNA from 1 species
AACAGAUCCUAAGCUUAAAAUGAUUAAUAACCACUGACCUAAAGGAAUGUUGAGAAACGACCCUGGACACAAAUUCGACUCUGAUUAUGAAAGAUGCUAAUUGCCUUGCAAUAAGUAUAGACUUUCCUCUGUAAUCAAUACGAAGUCAGUGUCAGUGUCAGUUUUUAGGAGGAAUGAAUAAUUGCAAUAUCUGCUGCAUUCCUGGGGCAUAGAACAGUCCUUAGAUGCUCAGCAAAUAUUUGUCAGAUGAUAGUCUGAAGUGUGGAUUGAGAGACCAGAGGCAGGAAAACUGGUUUGUUUUUAGAUUUUAGGGAAGAGAUGCUUAGAUGAAUGAGAGCCAUUCUGAGAAAUUAUAUUUCAACUCUCUAAUUACUUUGUAAUAUUGGCCUUUAUCAAGAAAAGAAAUGUGAAAUAGUCCCUGGAUAUUUUUUUCUUCCCUGUAGAGCAUUCAAUGUCUUUCCAAGAGUUUACCAUGAUUUCUUAAUGAGUGUAAGCAAUCCUUUGCUAAUGCAAUUUUUCAGAUUUCGUAGUUUGAAUAAAUAGAAAGCCAAUAUAUAAACUGAGCACAAAGCAGCUUAAAGGGAUUCACUGUGGUGAUAAUCACAGUAUCUCUUCUUUAAAAUAGGGGAUCCUGCUUGGAGUUUCUGUGUGCUUUGAAACAUGUCAAUUUAAACCUAUGUAAUUUAGCAUAUAUUGUGAGGAUAUUUUGAGAUUAUAUAGCCUAUAAAUCAAAAUUCCAUAAAAAAAAACAGCUGGAACACUCAAAAUAGGAUAAAUUAGGGAGGUUUUAUUUAUGUUGCAACUAUUUAGAGAGGUAAAUAAAGAGGAAGAAGAGACCAGGGGAAUGGAAAAUAUUUGAAAAGCAAGAAAAAAAAAGUGUGUGUGGGAUGGAGGGCACAGGUGUAGGCUUUAACUUUGAGAUGAGAUGUACCGCUUCCUUCAACCCUGCAGGAAGGGAUUAAACAAACAGAUGUAGCAAUAGAUAUAUUGAAGCCCAAAGUUGAUGAGAAAGCCCAUGCUACUUGACUGGGACUAGACUAACUCUUGCCUUGGAUUCUCACUGAUCGCAAGAGGUCUCUUGGCUGGUAAGGGGGAGAAGUUAUCCUCAUUCUCUAGCCAAACAAGGCGUCAUUUUCUUAUUGUCGAGAAAGAGACACGUGAACAGGUCUACCUGGGGUUAAUCUUCCUUUCCUCUUACACCCAGGCAUCAGGUACCACAUGCUGGUGUCCUUGAACCCCAUUCCCUUUAACAGAGAUCAUGUGUUGUACUGGAGAGAUAAGUACAAUCUAGUUGUACCAAAAAUGACACAGGAGAUCUCUUGUGGUUCAGUGGGCUAAGGAUCCAGCAAGUGUCACUGCAGUGACUUUGGUUGCUGCUGUAACUGGGGUUCAAUCCCUGGUCCAGGAAUUUCUGCAUGGGGGGGGCAUGGCCAAAAAAAAGAAAAUGACACAGAAGUAUUUUCUCGACCUAUACUUUAAAAAUAGCUUUGGAGUUCCCGUUGUGGUUCAGUGCGUUAAGAACCCAGCACAGUGUCCGUGAAGAUGUGGGUUUGAUCCCUGGCCUCACUUAGUGGGGGAAGGAUCCAGCAUUGCACAAGCUGCGGUGUAGGUCGCGGAUGUAAUUUGGAUCUGGUGUGGCUGUGGCCGUGGUGCAGGCUGGCAGCUGCAGCUCCAGUUUGACCCCUAGCCUGGGAACUUCCGAAACCACACCACAGACAAGAUGGCGAUCAUAUCUGUCACCCCCAGUUUCCUCGUGCCCCUCUGUGCGAUCCCCCCUUCCUGCUCCUCCUUUACCCUCAGGCUUGUUGUCACUAUAGAUUGAUUUGCAUGUAUAAUGUUAUAUAAAUGGAAUUCCACAAUGUCUACUCCUUUUUAAAAUCUGACUUCUACUUAGUAAUUAUUUUGAGAUCCAUCUAUAUAGAAUAUUAAAAUACCAGUUAGGCUCUCAGUUUAACAUUCAACCCUUUCACUUGCUUUUGGUAAACAUUCUGUCCCAUUUCCUUCUGGUGUUAAACAUUCUUUUUCUUAUCCACCUCGCUAAGCCAACAACCUCUUCCACCUUCCCAUGAACACAAGCAUUUUCCCCCCUUCCUUGUGAUAAAUAAAGCUUCAGAACAAAAUUGCAUUACUUUCUCCCUGUUUUCACCUUUCUUCCUCUCAUCUCAGGGAUGAAGAGUCCAGCUGGGCUCUGCUGUGUUUGUUUCCUUCUUUUUGCUGUUUCACUCUGUUGCUCAUCUCUUUCUUCUGUACCUUCAACCUCUUUCCAUCACUGCUUCAUUUCCCUAAGCCUGUGAGUUUCUUAUCCUAAAAUAAAACAAUCAAAAUAAUCACAAUAAUUAAAUAUAAGAAUGGUUUGCUGUCUGUACUUUACCCCUCCUGCCUCAUCUGUGUUUCCUUGCUCACUCAAGCCUCUUUAAAGCAAGGUCCACACAGGACCAGCUACGGAAUUUGCAGAGCCAAGUACAAAAUGAAAACGCAAGAUCUCUUGCUCAAAAUUAUGAAGAAUUUCUAGGAGUUCCUGUCGUGGCUCAGUGGUUAAUGAAUCCGACUAGGAACUGUGAGACUGCUGGUUCGAUCCCUGGCCUUGCUCAGUGGGUUAAGGAGCCGGCAUUGCCGUGAGCUGUGGUGUAGAUUGCAGAUGCGGCUUGGAUCCUGCCUUGCUGUGACUUCAGCAUUGGCCGGCGGCUACAGCUCGGAUUUGACCCCUAGCCUGGGAAACUUCAUAUGCCAUGGGAGCAGCCCUAGAAAAGAC